rnacentral:rRNA from 1 species
GGACUACUGGGGUAUCUAAUCCCAUUUGCUCCCCUGGCUUUCGUUCCUCAGCGUCAGUUACGGCCCAGUAAGUCGCCUACGCCACUGGUGUUCUUCCUGAUAUCUACGCAUUUCACCGCUACACCAGGAAUUCCACUUACCUCUACCGCACUCCAGUCUGCCAGUAUUCAAUGCACUCCCAGGGUUGGGCCCCGAUCUUUAACACCGAACUUAACAAACCGCCUACGAACUCUUUACGCCCAAUAAAUCCGGACAACGCUUGCAUCCUACGUCUUACCGCGGCUGCUGGCAC